UGGGGAAUUUUGGACAAUGGGGGAAACCCUGAUCCAGCCAUCCCGCGUGUGCGAUGAAGGCCUUCGGGUUGUAAAGCACUUUUGGCAGGAAAGAAACGUCAUGGGUUAAUACCCCGUGAAACUGACGGUACCUGCAGAAUAAGCACCGGCUAACUACGUGCCAGCAGCCGCGGUAAUACGUAGGGUGCAAGCGUUAAUCGGAAUUACUGGGCGUAAAGCGUGCGCAGGCGGUUCGGAAAGAAAGAUGUGAAAUCCCAGAGCUCAACUUUGGAACUGCAUUUUUAACUACCGGGCUAGAGUGUGUGAGAGGGGGGUGGAAAUCCGCGUGUAGCAGUGAAAUGCGUAGAUAUGCGGAGGAACACCGAUGGCGAAGGCAGCCUCCUGGGAUAACACUGACGCUCAGGAACGAAAGCGUGGGGAGCAAACAGG
rnacentral:rRNA from 1 species